UACGUAGGUGGCAAGCGUUGUCCGGAUUUAUUGGGUUUAAAGGGUGCGUAGGCGGUCUAUUAAGUCAGCGGUGAAAUACUCCAGCUUAACUGGAGGGGUGCCAUUGAUACUGAUGGACUUGAGUCAAGUCGAGGUAGGCGGAAUUGACGGUGUAGCGGUGAAAUGCGCAGAUAUCAGGAGGAACACCGAUGGCGAAGGCAGGUCUCUGGGCAUUAACUGACGCUGAGGAGCGAAGCAUGGGGAGCGAACAGG
rnacentral:rRNA from 1 species